rnacentral:rRNA from 2 species
ACGGGGUGCAGCAGGCGCGAAACCUUUGCAAUGUGCGCAAGCACGACAAGGUUAAUCCGAGUGUUUCCUGCUAAAGGAAUCUUUUGUUAGUCGUAAAACCACUGAUGAAUAAGGGGUGGGCAAGUUCUGGUGUCAGCCGCCGCGGUAAAACCAGCACCUCAAGUGGUCAGGAGGAUUAUUGGGCCUAAAGCAUCCGUAGCCGGCUCUGCAAGUUUUCGGUUAAAUCCAUUUGCUUAACAAAUGGGCUGCCGAAAAUACUACAUAGCUAGGGAGUGGGAGAGGUAGACGGUAUUCGGUAGGAAGGGGUAAAAUCCUUUGAUCUAUUGAGGACCACCUAUGGCGAAGGCAGUCUACCAGAACACGUUCGACGGUGAGGGAUGAAAGCUGGGGGAGCAAACCGGAUUAGAUACCCGGGUAGUCCCAGCUGUAAACGAUGCAGACUCGGUGAUGCACUGGCUUGUGGCCAGUGCAGUGCCGCAGGGAAGCCGUUAAGUUUGCCGCCUGGGAAGUACGUACGCAAGUAUGAAACUUAAAGGAAUUGGCGGGUGAGCAC